UAUCUGAAUCUGAAUUGUUUUCUUUUUGAAGGGAAUCCAGAAUAUGUAAUAUUUGAUCCUUUAAAUUUAUCACGUAUAAAAACCAGUGUUGAUCCAACCAUAUGGGGAUGAAAAGCUGCACACAAAUUAUUAUAAUUAGUCAAAGUUUAUUACUUU